AUUGAACGCUGGCGGCAGGCUUAACACAUGCAAGUCGAGCGGGGUGAUGGUGCUUGCACUAUCACUUAGCGGCGGACGGGUGAGUAAUGCUUAGGAAUCUGCCUGUUAGUGGGGGACAACAUCUCGAAAGGGAUGCUAAUACCGCAUACGUCCUACGGGAGAAAGCAGGGGAUCACUUGUGACCUUGCGCUAAUAGAUGAGCCUAAGUCGGAUUAGCUAGUUGGUGGGGUAAAGGCCUACCAAGGCGACGAUCUGUAGCGGGUCCGAGAGGAUGAUCCGCCACACUGGGACUGAGACACGGCCCAGACUCCUACGGGAGGCAGCAGUGGGGAAUAUUGGACAAUGGGGGGAACCCUGAUCCAGCCAUGCCGCGUGUGUGAAGAAGGCCUUAUGGUUGUAAAGCACUUUAAGCGAGGAGGAGGCUCUUUUGGUUAAUACCCAAGAUGAGUGGACGUUACUCGCAGAAUAAGCACCGGCUAACUCUGUGCCAGCAGCCGCUGUAA
rnacentral:rRNA from 1 species